CAACACUGCGGUCUCAGACUUCUAGCCUCCAGAACUGGCAGAAAAUAAUUAUCUGUGGCUUGAGCCGCCUAGUUCGCAGUACUUGCUGCAGCAGUCCUAGCAAAGUAAUCAACCCCAACCUAUCUGGAAGACCCCCUUGCAGGCUGCAACCCUUUAUAAAAAAUAGAGAGAAGAACUAAAUAAAUAAAGAGAUAACACAUGUUCAUGGAUAAGAAGACUCAAUAUUGUCAAGAUGUCAUUUCUUCCCAAAUUGAUCUAUAGACUCAAUGGAAUCCCAAUCAGAAUCUCAGCAAGUUAUAUUGUGAUUAUAGACAAACUUAUUCUAAACUUUAUAUGGAGAGGCAAAAGACCCAGAAUAGCCAACACAAUAUUAAAGAAAAAAACAAAGUUAGAGGACCGUCAUUACCUGACUUUGAGGUCUUCUGGCAAUGUUCUCUUUAACCCAUGAUGAGAAUUAAGAGGACUUUUGACUAAUUAUGAGGCAAUGAAUGUACCAUUAAAGUUUCUCACCUACAUUGGAACUUUAUCUUUUAACUAUCACCAUAUAAGGUUAUUUAUGUAGAAAGCUGGCUAAGAAAGUCCUUCACAAAUAAAAGUGCACCCUAUAAGUGCACAUAAUAG
rnacentral:lncRNA from 1 species